rnacentral:rRNA from 1 species
UAGGGAAUCUUCCACAAUGGACGAAAGUCUGAUGGAGCAACGCCGCGUGAAUGAAGAAGGCCUUCGGGUCGUAAAUUCUGUUGUCAGAGAAGAACGUGCGUGAGAGUAACUGUUCACGUAUUGACGGUAUCUGACCAGAAAGCCACGGCUAACUACGUGCCAGCAGCCGCGGUAAUACGUAGGUGGCAAGCGUUGUCCGGAUUUAUUGGGACGUAAAGGGAACGCAGGCGGUCUUUUAAGUCUGAUGUGAAAGCCUUCGGCUUAACCGAAGUAGUGCAUUGGAAACUGGAAGACUUGAGUGCAGAAGAGGAGAGUGGAACUCCAUGUGUAGCGGUGAAAUGCGUAGAUAUAUGG